CAAAUUGUUUAAAAAGAAAAAAAUCUUUACUAACGCGAAAUAUCUUUUGGGCCGUCGGCUGUCAAAAUUGCGGCAUCCACCUUUUAAGAAAUUUAAAACCCUAAUCGUUGUAGCGUUCGCGUCCGAGUUUCAGUGCGAUCCCUAAUUUUGUCCGUGAUAAAAUGAGUAGCCGUGCGAGCAGAACCCUUUACGUUGGGAAUCUCCCAGGUGAUAUUCGUGAGAGGGAAGUGGAAGAUUUGUUUUACAAGUACGGACGCAUAGCCCACAUUGACUUGAAGGUCCCUCCAAGGCCUCCUGGUUAUGCAUUUGUUGAGUUUGAGGAUGCCAGAGAUGCUGAAGAUGCAAUUCGUGGUCGUGAUGGCUAUGAUUUUGAUGGGCAUCGCUUGCGGGUUGAACUUGCGCAUGGUGGACGUGGACAUUCAUCCUCAACUGAUCGUUAUAGUAGCCACAGUGCAGGGGGUGGUGGUGGUGGUGGAGGCCGAGGGGGACGUGGCGUAUCAAGGCGCUCUGAGUAUCGUGUGAUGGUAUCUGGAUUACCUUCAUCAGCUUCAUGGCAAGAUCUUAAGGAUCACAUGCGGCGUGCUGGGGAUGUUUGUUUCUCUCAAGUGUUCCGUGGUAGUAGUGGCACAACAGGAAUUGUGGACUACACCAACUAUGAAGACAUGAAGUAUGCAAUAAAAAAGCUUGAUGAUUCUGAGUUCCGGAAUGCAUUUUCUCGGGCAUAUGUUCGUGUUAGGGAAUAUGAUUCAAAGAGAGACUCAUCUAGGAGCCCUAGCCCUAGUCGCGGUCGUUCUCAUUCAAAGGGCAGGAGUGGCAGCCGUAGUCGGAGCCGAAGUUACAGUAGGAGCAGAAGCAGGAGCAAAUCUCCAAAAGCCAAAAGUUCACGUCGCUCACCUGCUAAAUCAGGAUCAAGGUCUAGAUCUCGAUCACGCUCUCGCUCCUUGUCUGGAUUUGGAUUUAUGCAGCGAACUGGGGAUUGGAUAUUAGGAUCUUGAUUGGAUAUGGUUCAAUUGCACUCUUUUGGUUGUGGAGAUUGGGAACAAAGGAGGUCAUGGAUUGCUAUAGUAGAGCUGGAUAACUGUGUACUAAUUGCAAUGGGAUUUGGAAGUCACCAUCAAUUUGCAGUAGAGACAUUACACUAUGAUUACCUGCUUCAACACUUGCCAAGCUAAUAGGACGACAAUUUGUGGAUUCCCUGGAUUUUGGUGGUACAGUAGGGAAGAAUACUCCUUUCCUGUCCACUAGUGUCUUGAAAACAAUUAAUGCUGUUUUCUUUAAGAUAUUUAUUUUUAUAAUCUUAGGUCAUUUGUAGGUGGGAGUAAUAUGCAUUAGCCUGUUUUUUCUUCUGUUGAACUGCUAAACUUUUUAUAUCUUUCCUCUUAUCCAUAUUGGUUCUGGUAUCUCUGACGUGGAAGAGGCAUCAAGGAUCUUGGAUCAAAUUUGGUAAAAGGAACUUGUGGAAUUUAAAUUGGUUGUUUCUGGAACUUUUGCAGAUCUCGGUCAAGAUCUAGAUCUCCAUUACCAUUGAAACGUACAAGUGAAAGCCCCAAAAAGCGCAGCAUCAGUAGAAGUCCCAGCAGAAGCAGAAGUAGGAGCCGUAGCAGGAGCAGGAGCCA